GGAUUCAUCCGGUGGUCGGGCUUCACGGUCCGCACUGGUGUGAUGGGUUCCUACCUUCUGAAUAACCGGCAUGCCAUUAAUUUGGUGCGCCGGGGAAGCAGAACUAUUACCUUGAAAAAAUUAGAGUGUUUAAAGCAAGCUAACGCUUGAAUACAUUAGCAUGGAAUAAUGAAAUAGGACGUUCGAUCCUAUUUUGUUGGUUUCUAGGAUUGACGUA
rnacentral:rRNA from 1 species